AUUUUUUUUUGUAGGGGAAUAUAACGAUCAAUAUAUAAAAAACCCAGAAGCUAUGAGACCUAGGCCUCCUCAACGUACUGAAACGCGGCAAGGAACUACGGAUCUACUAGGCGAACUAAGAACUAAGCGUCCUCCACCUCAGCAAGGAAAUAUGGAAAAUAAGCAUCGACCAGCUCCUCCACCUCCGCAAGCACCUAUGAAAGCUAUGCGUCCUCCGCUUUCUACACCUAUGACAAGUAUGAGCCAUUUUUACCGUACACAUAUUUUGUAGAAUAUUAUUAAUACC